rnacentral:rRNA from 1 species
AGAGCGAACGCUGGCGGCAGGCUUAACACAUGCAAGUCGAGCGGGCGUAGCAAUACGUCAGCGGCAGACGGGUGAGUAACGCGUGGGAACGUACCUUUUGGUUCGGAACAACCCAGGGAAACUUGGGCUAAAUACCGGAUAAGCCCUUACGGGGAAAGAUUUAUCGCCGAAAGAUCGGCCCGCGUCUGAUUAGCUAGUUGGUGAGGUAACGGCUCACCAAGGCGACGAUCAGUAGCUGGUCUGAGAGGAUGAUCAGCCACAUUGGGACUGAGACACGGCCCAAACUCCUACGGGAGGCAGCAGUGGGGAAUAUUGGACAAUGGGCGCAAGCCUGAUCCAGCCAUGCCGCGUGAGUGAUGAAGGCCCUAGGGUUGUAAAGCUCUUUUGUGCGGGAAGAUAAUGACGGUACCGCAAGAAUAAGCCCCGGCUAACUUCGUGCCAGCAGCCGC